rnacentral:rRNA from 1 species
GACGUAGGGCGCGAGCGUUGCCCGGAUUUAUUGGGCGUAAAGAGCUCGUAGGCGGCUUGUCGCGUCGACUGUGAAAACCCGCGGCUCAACCGCGGGCCUGCAGUCGAUACGGGCAGGCUAGAGUUCGGUAGGGGAGACUGGAAUUCCUGGUGUAGCGGUGAAAUGCGCAGAUAUCAGGAAGAACACCCGUGGCGAAGGCGGCUCUCUGGAACGCAACUGACGCUGAGACGCGAAAGCGUGGGGAGCAAACAGG